UUUCCGGUUGAUCCUGCCGGACCUGACUGCUAUCGGAUUGGUACUAAGCCAUGUGAGUCAUUGUAGCAAUACAAGGCAUACGGCUCAGUAACACGUAGUCAAUCUGCCCUAUGGACGUGGAUAACCUCGGGAAACUGAGAAUAAUCCGCGAUAGAUCAUAAUGCCUGGAACGGUUUAUGGUCCAAAUGAUUCGUCGCCAUAGGAUGGGACCGCGGCCUAUCAGCUUGUUGGUGAGGUAAUGGCCCACCAAGGCUAUUACAGGUACGGGCUCUGAGAGGAGAAGCCCGGAGAUGGGUACUGAGACACGGACCCAGGCCCUAUGGGGCGCAGCAGGCGAGAAACCUUUGCAAUGUGCGCAAGCACGACAAGGUUAAUCCGAGUGUUUCCUGCUAAAGGAAUCUUUUGUUAGUUCUAAAACCACUGAUGAAUAAGGGGUGGGCAAGUUCUGGUGUCAGCCGCCGCGGUAAAACCAGCACCUCAAGUGGUCAGGAGGAUUAUUGGGCCUAAAGCAUCCGUAGCCGGUUCUGUAAGUUUCCGGUUAAAUCCACUAGCUCAACUAAUGGGCUGCCGGAAAUACUGCAGAACUAGGGAGUGGGAGAGGUAGACGGUACUCGGGAGGAAGGGGUAAAAUCCUUUGAUCUCUUGAGGACCACCAGUGGCGAAGGCGGUCUACCAGAACACGUUCGACGGUGAGGGAUGAAAGCUGGGGGAGCAAACCGGAUUAGAUACCCGGGUAGUCCCAGCUGUAAACUAUGCAAACUCAGUGAUGCAUUGGCUUAUGGCCAAUGCAGUGCUGCAGGGAAGCCGUUAAGUUUGCCGCCUGGGAAGUACGUACGCAAGUAUGAAACUUAAAGGAAUUGGCGGGGGAGCAC
rnacentral:rRNA from 1 species